rnacentral:rRNA from 1 species
GACGAACGCUGGCGGCGUGCUUAACACAUGCAAGUCGAACGGAAAGGCCCUGCUUUUGUGGGGUGCUCGAGUGGCGAACGGGUGAGUAACACGUGAGUAACCUGCCCUUGACUUUGGGAUAACUUCAGGAAACUGGGGCUAAUACCGGAUAGGAGCCCCUGCUGCAUGGUGGGCGUUGGAAAGUUUCGGCGGUUGGGGAUGGACUCGCGGCUUAUCAGCUUGCUGGUGGGGUAGUUGCUUACCAAGGCUUUGACGGGUCGCCGGCCUGUGAGGGUGACCGGCGACAUUGGGACUGAGAUACGGCCCAGACUCCUACGGGAGGCGGCAGUGGGGAAUAUGGCACAAUGGGAGGAAGUCUGAUGCAGCAACGCCGCGUGCGGGAUGACGGCCUUCGGGUUGUGAACCGCAGUCGCCUGUGACGAAGCGUGAGUGACGGUAAUGAGUAAAGAAGCACCGGCUAACUACGUG